AUGGCUCAGAACGAACGCUGGCGGCGCGUUUAAGCAUGCAAGUCGAGCGGCAAGGGCCUUCGGGCCCCUAGAGCGGCGGACGGGUGAGUAACACGUGGACAAUCUGCCCCCCGGCCCGGGAUAGCCCAGGGAAACCUGGAUUAAUACCGGAUGAGACGGGACCCGCGAAGGCGGGACCCGGGAAGGCGCUGCGGCGCCGCCGGGGGAUGAGUCUGCGUCCCAUUAGCUAGACGGCGGGGUAACGGCCCACCGUGGCGACGAUGGGUAGCCGGCCUGAGAGGGUGGACGGCCACAUUGGAACUGAGACACGGUCCAGACUCCUACGGGAGGCAGCAGCUAAGAAUCUUCCGCAAUGGGCGAAAGCCUGACGGAGCCGACGCCGCGUGAACGAAGAAGGCCGUGAGGUUGUAAAGUUCUUUUCGGGAGGGGAACAACCGUGGCAGGGAAUGGCCGCGGGAUGACGUGAAUCCCGGAAUAAGCCCCGGCUAACUACGUGCCAGCCGCAGC
rnacentral:rRNA from 1 species